AUAUGUGCCGCUUGUCAUCUUUAUCAUUUCUCCCACUGUGCACAUAUUGUAGACCCUGGAGGUCCAUCUGUUCUGGAUUCGUUCCGAGUUGGGACUGCUGUGCUAUAAUGUCGGCUUUCCCUUGAAUCAUUUCCAGGGCCUAUGUCAUUUCAACCUCUCAAACAUGUUUAGAAUGUUGAAUCAGGUCUUUUUGUACCUAUAAAGUUAUAAAUACAACUUUCAGCAACGGAUCUCUUGGCUCUCGCAUCGAUGAAGAACGCAGCGAAAUGCGAUAAGUAAUGUGAAUUGCAGAAUUCAGUGAAUCAUCGAAUCUUUGAACGCAUCUUGCGCUCCUUGGUAUUCCGAGGAGCAUGCCUGUUUGAGUGUCAUUUAAAUUCUCAACCACAUCUUGAUGUGGCUUUGGACAUGGGGGUUUUUUGCGGGCUUUCCAUUCAAGUCGGCUCCCCUGAAAUGUAUUAGUGGUAUCUGGAGCAGAGACUGCUAGGUGUGAUAAUAUCAUCUAUGCCUGUGGUAUGCUGCAUGAACAGAUUGUGCUGCUUCUAACACACAUUUUGAUUUUGACAAACUUGACCUCAAAUCAGGUAGGACUACCCGCUGAAC
rnacentral:rRNA from 1 species